GCCCCCUCCUCCGUGUGUAUCACAAACGUAGCACAAGUGUGGAGUGUCUGUGGACUCUUUCAGGGCAGAAUUUGUCGUUCCUGCCUCUGUUCCUCCAUGACACUUCGUGCAGACCUCUGCCCAAAGACCUCCACACUUGUGCCAAGUUUUGAUAACACGGAGGAGGAGGCAAGGGGACAUGAGCAAAGUGCCAUGGUGGGAAAGGAUGCAGGAGCUGCAGAAUGGUGAGUGGACCCGUGCAGCUGCAGUAUGAGGUGCCUGGUAUGGGGUGGUGGGCUGUGGAAGAUGAGGCAGGAAUGCCAAGCUGGCCUGAGACUAUGAAAGGC